rnacentral:rRNA from 1 species
GACGAACGCUGGCGGCGUGCUUAAUACAUGCAAGUCGAGCGAACAGACGAGGAGCUUGCUCCUUUGACGUUAGCGGCGCGCGGGUGUGAAACACGUGUAUAACCCACCUAUAAUUGUGAGAUCAUCUGGGGAAACCGGCUCUAAUAGCGUAUAAGAUCUUGAAGCGUAUGGGGCGUUAGAAAAAGACGGUUUUGGUGUCACUACUCGAUGGUUCCGGGCCGUAUUGGCUAGUUGGUAAGGUCACGGCUUAUCAAGGCUACCAUGCGUAGCCGACCUGCGAGAGUGAUCGGCCGCACUGGAACUGAGCCACGGUCCAGACUCCUACGGGAGGCAGCAGUAGGGAAUCUUCCGCAAUGGGCGAAAGCCUUGCGGAGCAGCGCCGCGUGAGUGAUGAAGGUCUUCGGAUCGUAAAGCUCUGUUAUUAGGGGAGAACAACUGUGUAAGUAACUAUGCACGUCUUGACGGUACCUAAUCAGAAAGCCACGGCUAACUACGUG